CAAUAGCGUAUAUUAAAGCUGUUGCGGUUAAAAAGCUCGUAGUUGGAUUUCUGUCAAGGACAACUGGUCCGCCCUCCGGGUGAGCACAUAGUUUGGUCUUGGCAUCUUGCUGGAAACUGUUGCUGCACUUGGUUGUGUGGCGCAGCAUCCAGCACUUUCACUUUGAGGAAAUUGGAGUGUUUCAAGCAGGCACAUGCCUUUGGACACAGUAGCAUGGAAUAAUUAGAUUGGGCUUUUGCUCCAAUUUGUCGGUUUCUGGAGCUGAGGUGAGAAUUAAUGGGGAUUGUUGGGGACAUCCGAAUUUAGCCGUCAGAGGUGAAAUUCUUGGAUCUGCUAAAGACGGACAACUGCGAAAGCGUUUGCCCAGGAUGUUUUCAUUGA
rnacentral:rRNA from 1 species